UGUAUCUCUGUGAUCUCCCCAGCCACCCCUGCCCCACUGCUCCUCGCUGUUCCUGCUUCAUGUACGUUGCCUGUCCCUCGGCAUCUCUGCGCUGGCUGUUCCCCACCUGGAGCAUCCUUGUCGCUCCGCCCCCUAUGCCUGUGGCCCAUUCCUGCCUCCUCCAGGUCUUGACUCAAAUGUCAGUUUCUCAGCAAAGCCUUCCCUGGACACCCUCCUCACUCCGUUCCCUGUUUUUUUCUGCUUUGAACUCACCACCAUCUAACACUACAGAUUCUGGGUUUAUUGAGGGGAAGUGACGUUUAAGCAUCCCUGCCUUUCUGUUGAGGGAUGCCCGCCCUCCUCCCCUUUUCAGGAUUCAGCGCAGCUUCUUUCUGGGUUUCCAAAGCCCACAGCUCACGCCUCUACUUGCUGCAGGGAGCCCUGCCCACCCCAUAGGAAGGUACACCAGCAGCCUGGAAACCAGACCAACAGCUCAGGGCCUUCCCACCUCCCAGACUAGCCUAGAAGCUGCUCGAAGGCAGGUCCUGGGUCUCAUCCGACAGUAUUUCCAGGAGCCAGCACUAGCUUAAAGGCUCAAGAGAGGACCGCUAUAACCAAGGGUGGAACACGCAACUGCCACAGGCCCUGAUAGCGACCAUCGGAGGAUGGUGACUUCAGUUAACAGAGGUAUGGCAGCGAGAAAUCGCAAGAACCAAUUCCCUUGUCUUCUGCAACUGUCGGCCUUGCUUCUGCGGUGCAGCCAGAAAAUGGAGACCCCCAGCCACUGCUGUUCCCCAGCAAAAGGCAGGUUCUUGCUGUCCCCUGGCCAGGGCCCCUGAGCUACCUGAUACCACCCCUUUGAUUGGCAGGGCGCACGAGUUUUAUGGCAAGACUGGAAGUCGACUGUAAUUAAGACCUCUAUAAAAUAUUUAGACCACUGUGCCCAGAUAUAUUAAUGAUUAUACAUUUAAAUGUUAAUGAAUGUAAUUAGAUGAAAGAUUAGCCAAGCCUGUCACUAAAUAUACAUUCAGGACCGAUAAAC